AAACACUGAAAAAUGUAGCGAAACCAUGCUUAAUCAGGAUUACACGUAUGGCAUGUGGCAUUAAAAUGGAAGAAGUGUCUCUUAUUGAACAUGGAGAUCAUAAGUAGAGUGAACGACGAAAACUUCUCCAACUUCGAAAGAGGCCAUGUGAGGUGACAGAGUUCUGUAAGUUUUGUUGAAAGUCAUAUUUCUCGUCAGACGCAUUAGUGGUUGUGACUUGCGAGUAAAUUAGGGUGCAUUGGAAUUUGGAGCCAAGAAAUUGUCAUGCCGUGGGGAUCUCUGUUAGGGGGAGCGUACGGAUCAUUUAGUAUGCAUGCACAGCAGCGUUACAUGUCACAGCAUUGCACCAGAUUUUUAAAAUAGUGGGAAGGAAUUAAGGCAUUGAAUUCAAUCCAACCACCGCCUAACCAAUGUUCCUUCUGAUUCACACCCACCAGGGUCACCACUUCUUCUAUAUAAGCACCAGGCCUCCAACCCACUUCACUCAUCAGUUUCCGAACUCAACCCAGCUUCCAAGAGUAGUGAUUCUUGAGUUUAAUUCAACAGAAUGGCUGGCUCAGUAGCUGUCAAGGUCUCAUGCCUGGUGUUGAUGUGCAUGUUGGUGGCUUCGCCCAUGGCAGUAGAAGGGUUGUCGUGUGGUGACGUAGCAACCCAGUUGGCCCCGUGCAUCAACUACCUGAGAAGUGCUGGCCCAUUGCCUCCGGCGUGCUGCAAUGGUGUUAAGAACCUCAAAAACUCUGCCGCCACCACACAAGACCGCAGGACCGCUUGCAAGUGCUUGAUAAAUGCUUCUAAAUCCAUCUCUGGUGUGAACUUUGGUCUGGCUGCUGGCCUCCCUGGCAAAUGUGGUGUCAACAUUCCUUACAAGAUUAGCCC
rnacentral:lncRNA from 1 species